rnacentral:lncRNA from 1 species
UUUUUUCUUUCUUUUUUUUUUUUUUGGUUUUUAGGGCCACAUGUGUGGCAUAUGGAAGUUCCGAGGCUAGGGGCUUAAUCGGAGCUGCAGCUGCUAGACCUACACCACAGCCACAGCAAUGCUGGAUCCUUAACCGACUAAGGGAGGCCAGGGACUGAAGCCACAUCCUCAUGGAUACUAGUUGGGUUCAUUAUCGCUUAGCCACAAAGGGAACUCCAAUAAGCUGUAUUAAAAUUUUUAAUUACCAUGAGGUUGCAGGUUCGAUCCCUGGCCUCAGUUGCCGUGAGCUGUGGUGUAGGAAAUUAAGUGUGGAUUAGGAUAAUUAAAUGUAAAGUCUCCUUGAGAGCGACUUCUGUCCCUGUAGACUAGAGCCAUUUCUUUCGUAUCACAGAAAACCUGUGAAGAGGAUUUGCCAAGGCAUCACAGCCUUUCUACUUUCACAUCAGGUCUGCAAACGCUAUGAUCUAAAAGGAACAGAGCAAUGAUUUGGGGAGAGAAUUAAAUCCUAUGGCUUAUCAGAGAAAACCACUCCAUUCUCUAGUCUUUGCAAAAGUUCACAUGCUCGUGUAACUGUAAUAUGCUUAGGGGUUUCCAAAAAUUACAUACAUUUCCUCAAAAGAGAUAUAGGAAAAAAUAUAAUCACGGGGUAAAGGCCAAAUAUUGUCUCUUCUGAAUGCUUAAGUAGCCAAUUAUGUGUCUUAAUACAUUAAUUCUGUCGAGAGAAAGAGACUAUUACAGGAAAGUUGAGUAAGACAUCUUCAAAAAAAAUGUACCCUGGGGCCUAAGUCCAUUCAGCUGACGGAAAAUCACCCCCUCAAAAAAGCAGUGUUAUACAAAAUCUAGUAUUUUAAUUUCCUGGCUGCCAAGAGAAGCAUAUAAGGAGCAGAAAUUAAACUAAUUAUGUCAGCAGCACAGUGAACAAAACUUUAAUUCUAUUACACACUAGUUUGACAUUUGCCGAAGAAUACAAAGGCCCUUAAGGGUAGAAACUUCUUUAGAAUAUAAAUGAUUCCCAAUCGAUAUGACAAAAAUUAGUCUGGGCAAUAAACAGAGUCACGGUUUACAAGGGAAAAUUCAGCCAGCAUCCCUAAUUCAGAAUUAAAAAAAAAAAAAAAUUUAAAGUAGAGUAUGAGAAACAAAUCUCUACAACGGCUUUAAUCUCUCCGUGAUUUCCAUAUGUUGUACCAUUAAUAGGUCCUUUAAGCCAGUAUUGUACUAAUCAGCUUUUUUAACAUCUAGCUCACAAAAGAGCCUAUUCAUUUAGCUGGGAGACAGGUGUUAGCAACCAGCAACCUCUCUUAGCCUUGGGUUCCAGGGGCCUGGUCGGUGAUGACUGCAGCAUGAUUGGCGAGUGGAAAGGGAGGCGAGAAGGAAAGAGAAACAAAAGCACCCGGGGCAGAGGCGGGGGGAAGAGAUAAGGGAAAAAAGAGACGUCAGGUGCUACUUCAAGGGGCCACCCUCAAAGCCUGGUGGCCUGAUCUGAGCUCCCGGGCCCAGAUCCUUGAGGCAGAAUUGGGAAAAUGUCUUUAAUUUAUUCCUGCAGACAGUAAUUCUGACACUCCACGCGUUGAAAAAAAUGUUUUCAAAUGCCCCAUGACUCAUUCCUCUUACCCAUCUUCUCUACUUCUUCACUUUAGUCCUCACUCUCUCAUACGUUUUCUAAAAAAGCUGACUGAGUAGAUAUUCCUGGAAAGAGAUAAAGACCAGGCCGGAUUUAGAAAGACAUCUUAAGCCUACGGAAUAAAAAACCCUAGGAGAAAGGGGGAGACGAGAACAUCCAUUGAGUUCCGCACAGCGUACAAAGAACAGAUUUUCUCUUUUCAUCCACAGAACAAUGCUACCAGGUAUUAUUUUCAUCUGGCAGAUGAAGAAAAUGAAGCCCACAGAGAUUCAGUAAAAGGGUCUAAAGUAGCAUAGGCAGGAGGUGGGAUUCAAAUACAGUGGGAUUCAAAACUACGUUUAUCUAUUUCCUGAACUGUUACUUUCCCCAAGUUUAAUUCCCUAACUAGUAUUUCGAGCUCCCAUUCUGCUUUAAAUCAGACGGUUCUAUAGUUCAGCAGUUUUUCUGCCUUCCAAGAACUCAGCCCAAGACCUGUGACUAAAUUGUAUUGCCUAUUAAGCAUCCAUUAUUUCCAAUAAGCGCAUCAGCUAUGGAGAAAUGAAACAUCUGGCAAGUUGGCUGUAUUUUUCAAAUCCUACCUACAGAGAAUUCCCAGGCAGCUCUCCUAGCCAACACGGAUCAGAACGAGAUUUGAUGACCCAUUCGGACCUCCAGUGGUUUCCACAUUAUCAUUCAUUUGUCCACUCAGGAAAUAAAGGAAGCUACUUUCACCAACCCUCCCUCAUGACUCGUGAUAGAUAAUACAGCAGAGGGGGCCUCUCGGUAAAGUAAUUUACAUACAAGUUAUAAAAGCUCUUUGUUAUCUGUCAUGACUAGGAAAUGGGCUAUUCUAGCAAAUCAAGCAUCCUGAAUAACAUAAUGAUGCUUUUAAAGGGACUACCAAUUUAUAAAGAAUUUCAAGGCAGUACAACAGUGGCUCCCAAACCCGGCGGCAAAUCAGAAUCACUUGGGGAGCUUUGUGGACGUAGAUGCCUAGAGUGGCUUUUAAAAUGCAGAUGCUUUGUCAUCACUUAUCCACUCAAAAAAAGAAGACUCCAGGAGGUGGAGCUGGGAAAUCUGUAUUUUUAAUGGACCCUUCAGUAACUCAGUUGCAAACUGCUAGGUAUGGAAUCUUUUAAGGAGUGGCUGGCUUUGGAGAACUCCUUGCAAUACAACACACUAAAAAAGCUAAAGCUGCAUGAAUACAAUGUGACCUUCUUUUGAUGAUUCAGGAGACUUCAGGAUCUCCCAAUGCCACUAGUUCAUCUCUCACUACUAGUAACUAGUCACUAUGCUGACAAAACCAGAAGGGACGAAAAGUUUAAGAUGAUUUCAUAUUAGGAAAACGUAAGCUGGUUUUUCCAGCUUUUUACCAUCAGAUUUUUUUUUUAAGAGCUGUUUUUUCCCCAGAGUAAACUCGGAUUGAAUGCUUGCCUUGAAAAAGGAAAAUGUUUAAAAACAGGCAGAUUCUCUUAACCAAUUCAAAACGUUAACAGACCCAGAUGCCUCAAAAACGUAGAAUAUUCAACCUGAGCUAGGCAAAGAGGAGAACUUAAUGAAGAUAAAGGAGGAUAAUAGGUUUAAGCUAAGAAUGGCAUCACAGGAUUCGAUAAAACCACUGUCCCAGGCCUGGGACAACUGAUAAAUCCUGGAAACUGGGAGAGGGGAGAUCUUUCAAUACCUAAGGCCGAUGAUUCCGACCUAUCUAGGCUGGCUUUGAUGUGAGAUAGAAUAGGAUAUCCUAUUAAGAGCCCAAUUGGUCUUCGGAUUUUAAAACCAAAUACAUAAUACAAAGUCACAAAACAAGAAAGCAAAUCUGUGUGUUUGGAUACAAAAAUAUUGCCCUUAUUACUGCCAGAAUCAUUCUUAUAUAAACACAACUACUACCAAUAAUCAGUAACCAAACAAAAAUAGUAACUAGGAACCAUUACCAAACCAGUAACCAUUACCAAACAAUAACAGGAUGCAGCUCGUCCCUUGAAACUUCACCAACAGCAGUUUAAACUAUGCAUUCUCAUUAAACUCUAAAUUAUAACUCCGGGAGUUCCCUGGUGGCCUAGCGGUUAAAGAUCCCGGGUUGUCACUACAGUGGCGAGGGUUCGAUCCCUGGCCCGGGAACUUCCAUAUGACGCUCAUGGGAAAAAAAGAAAUAACUUCAACAGGGGUACUGCAGGGAUUUUGAGAUUUCAAGAUGGAGAGUUUAUAUAUCUUUUCCCCCAAAUAUAAACACUACAGCCAGUACCAGUUUAAUAUAAAAGUCUCUAAUCUACCUUUAAAACAACAGCAGUAUUAAAGGUUCUAUUUUAAGAAUGAAAAAUCAAGGUGGAAUUAGUCCCCCUCACACUCCUUAGGUUUAUGUAGGUGUUUUCAUCAAGUCCUGGGCACAACACUCUUACAGAUGGAAGUGGCUCUUAUUAAACAUCACAAUGGACAUGUACUUAAGAGAAGAAACUCUGCCCUAUUUGUUAUUGUGGCUGUUUGUUUUGUCUUUUUCGGUGCUAGUAACUGCAAAAUGCUUUUUCCACAAUUUUAAGAGUCCUUAAAGAAGCAUUCCUGUUAGAUGGUGCUAAGAGUUCAACUGGCUUGGCCAUGAGAAAGUUGGAAAGCAAAUUAAUUUCUAACCUGAGAACGGCUUUGUUUUUGUGGGUAUUAUUUUAGUAAUUGGUUAAAUUAAGUCAAUUUAGAAGAUUUACAACCCUUGAUCGCACCCAAAGGAUAACAGCUGUCUUCCUGAUCAAUACGCAAGUUUUUAAUGGGCUGAUCUUCCUAAGUAAAUAGACAUUAAAAUGUGUGUGUCCUAGGUUACAUGGAAAUUUUCUUCUUGCACAAUCAAUUUAUCAGUUAGCCCUGCCACAACAACCUGCAAUUGCUGUACACGGUUUUCAAACUUAAGAAAAAUAAUACUUCUAAGUAAACUGUAAUUUUUGACUUGUACUCUGAAGUUCAGGAUUAUUAGGAAACAGACCGUGAAGUUUCAGAGAUGCCUGCUAUCAUCUGUUGCCUUGAAUGCGCAAAAGAAGGCAAUCAGGAAAAAAGGAUAAAAAGUUGUCAAACCUGAAAUGCUCUGAAUGAAAAGAAUUAUUACUGCUAGCUCCCACCCUAGAAUUCUGAAUACAAACUCACCCCAGCACCAUGUCCCCUGCUUACUCUCAUUCCUAGAAACAUAUUUCAGUAAGUAGACAGCCUUAGCGACAUUUCAUUUCAGUAACUUGAACUGUCGCUGAGAAAACCACAACUGCUCCCCAAACGGUUGCACGACAAGGGUGACAGGAAGUCUCUGUCCCCCAAACCACCUGUGAAAGGGAGGAACUUACUUCCUUAGAAGGCCACAUGGACCUGGGGAUGUUUGUGCUCCAGGCUACUGUGGCCUUUAGCCGGGGUGCAAAGCGGCAAUUGUGGGUAAAGCCUUAUUUCCAAGCUGACAACUCUUCUUCCCUGGGGUAGGCUGGGAGAACAUGGUACCCUCUUCCCUGAUUACACAAGCAGGCUUUCCCCUAGAGCAAAUGACAGACCAACAAAAAGGCGUGAAAAUAUACUGUGGUUUCUAUCUUCUGCCAGCCUGAAGUCAAGCUCUGAGCAGAGAGAAGCCUGCGACGCUCUGGCACCCCGGGUCUAGCAUACUGCCCCGUGCCUGGUCAAAUGUCUCAUGGGCAGCCAGCUGCAGAGAGGCCCCACUUCCCUCUGCAUCUUAGCUACUGGCGACCUCACACACACUACCUCAAAUGAACAGAAGACAACUCCCAGAAGAGGGACCACAGGACCCUGGGCGGGGCGGGGGACUCCUCUAAGAGGAGAGAACCACAUCCCCAAACUUCUCCAUCAAGCCUCCAAACUCCAGCCGCCUCCUUCCACGAUGCUCGCAGGGCUCCCGCACCAAGAAGCAGGGUCAGGCUAGUUCCUUUAAAUGAAGACGCAGGCCGCCCGGUACCUGACUCAGUUUCCACCGCUGUAAAGCAGCAUCUUUCCCCCACAAGCCAACUGAAUCUGCCGACGCGAGGGCAUUUGGAGAUAUUUGAGGAUACACGUCUGAGUUACUGCCUCCCGCAGGUGAAAUGCUUCCUUUGAAGAGGCUUUUAAUGGGACAGGUGCGGGCUACCUUGAAUGCGCAGACUUUCAGCGAGGCAGGGCUUCCCCCAUCCCCUGUAGGCAGGGAGAGUCCCAGGCCGCGCCCCGCACAGAAGAGGCGCCCCCGGACCACAGUUUGGUGAGACCCGAGGCCAAGCAGCGGCCCCCACCCCGGCCUCACGCAGGACCCCACCCCAGACCGGGCGCACCGCGAAUCCCAGCCCCACCGCCUCCUCACCUGCCGAGGCCGCCUGUCCGGCCCGCACCUGGGAGGGGAGGGGAGGGGCCGGAUCCGGGCC